CCUACGGGUGGCAGCAGUAGGGAAUCUUCCACAAUGGGCGAAAGCCUGAUGGAGCAACGCCGCGUGGGUGAAGAAGGUCUUCGGAUCGUAAAACUCUGUUGUUAGAGAAGAAAGUGCGUGAGAGUAACUGUUCACGUUUCGACGGUAUCUAACCAGAAAGCCACGGCUAACUACGUGCCAGCAGCCGCGGUAAUACGUAGGUGGCAAGCGUUAUCCGGAUUUAUUGGGCGUAAAGGGAACGCAGGCGGUCUUUUAAGUCUGAUGUGAAAGCCCUCGGCUUAACCGGCGUAGUGCAUUGGAAACUGGGAGACUUGAGUGCAGAAGAGGAGAGUGGAACUCCAUGUGUAGCGGUGAAAUGCGUAGAUAUAUGGAAGAACACCAGUGGCGAAGGCGGCUCUCUGGUCUGUAACUGACGCUGAGGUUCGAAAGCGUGGGGAGCAAACAGGAUUAGAUACCCGGGUAGUC
rnacentral:rRNA from 1 species